AUGGUAACCAUGGCGAUUUGAUUUCACUUCCUACUUACAAAAUCAUCUUGGCAAUGAUGACGUGAAAACAGGAAGUGCACAUACUCUCGAAACCAUGCAUCAUUGAGUGAUGUCACCUAGCUACGGGAGACCUUGCAACUAUCAAGUGUGAACACAAGACUUCAACAUGGCCUGUCGAGAUAUUCCUGAAUCGGAUUGCCCGAAAGAAAAAGCAUGUCAAUCGAAGUCUUGUGCAAAAGACACUUGUGGCGCCAAAGACACUUGUGGUGCCAAAGACACUUGUGGCGCCAAAGACCCAUGUGCCAAAGACACAUGUGUGAAAGAAGUUGUUGAAGAUACUCCCCCCGACUGUGCACCACAGAAGCCCCGAGUCAACGUGUGUCCGGCCGCUGAGAAAGCCAAGUCCAAUAAAUGCCCGUGUCAAAAGAAAUAACAGCUGGGAAGCCCUAUGGAAGAACGCAUGCGAGCUUAAGGUCUUCAAAUGAAAAGUAUAACAUCCUAAUUACAGAGCUUAAUGCCAUGUGUCUUCAAAUGAAAAGUAUAACAUCCUAAUUACAGAGCUUAAUGCCAUGUGUCUUCAAAUGAAAAGUAUAACAUCCUAAUUACAGAGCUUAAUGCCAUGGGUCUUCAAAUGAAAAGUAUAACAUCCUAAUUACAGAGCUUAAUGCCAUGUGUCUUCAAAUGAAAAGUAUAACAUCCUAAUUACAGAGCUUAAUGCCAUGGGUCUUCAAAUGAAAAGUAUAACAUCGAAAGAACUGAAGUCACAAACAUCACAAAUGAUAUAAAUAAAAAAUAGUACUGCU